CAACCAAUCUAACAGGAUACACCUGGGUAACAAGAAGGUGUGGCUUAGACCGAAUGAGGUGUAGUCUAGAAUGAAGGAGGUGUGGCCUAGUGUGAAUGAGGUGUGACCUAGAGUGAAUGAGGUGUGGCCUGGUGUAAAGGAGGUGUGGCUUAGAUUGAAUGAGUUGUAGUCUAGAAUGAAGGAGGUGUGGCCUAGAGUGAAUGAGGUGUGGCCUAGAGUAAAGGAGGUGAGGCUUAGAGCGAAUGAGUUGUAGUCUAGAAUGAAGGAGGUGUGGCCUCAAAUGAAAGAGUUGUAGUCUAGAAUGAAGGAGGUGUGGCCUAGUGUCUAUGAGGUGUGGCCUAAUGUAAAGGGGGUGUGGCUUAUAGUGAAUGAGGUAUAG
ensembl:lncRNA